ensembl:lncRNA
GUUCAGCCCCUGAUUGGUGUGUCACAAACUGAAAGGUGAGAUUUAGGGACAGAUUGAGCCACGGGAGACAUUCUGAAACAGAAAGGAAGAAAAAGAAAGUGAAGAGAAAGGAAAUAAUUUACAAAUCUAAAUUACACACGGGCCUUCAACCACAGCUGGCAAGUAGGUCCUAGUGUUCUUCAAUUAACACUUGAUCUAAUGGAAACUUUGUGAAGCCCACCCUGCAGGAGGUUGAGACUUGGGUGAAGAAGUGAUAGAAUAAAAUUGCUGACAGCUACGUAACCAAUGCAUUAUAAGUGCACCACAUGGACAGAAGCAUUCAUGUUUGAUGUAAAAAUAAAAUGGGCAAGCAGAUGUGAAAGCUGUAAAAUGUGUUGCACCUGAGAAGAAAUAUUCUCCAAUUAGUAGUAAAGAAGACUCUGCCUUGCAGGCAACUGGGGAAAUGCCCACUCCCCUUUUGGGCCCCUCCACUGAAAUCUGGUAAUAAGUCAUAACAGCUCAAUCUUGUUGCUAUAUUUCACAUCCUAAAUUCAAGCUGACCUUCUGAGAAGGAUUGUAAGGUGAAUCAGGUUCAGCCUUGUUGUUUUACAGAUGAAGACUGAGGCCCAAGUUCUCAAGGCUGAGAAGUCCUAGAUCAAGGUGCCAGCAAAUUCAAUGUCCAGUAAGGACCAGUUUUCUGGGUCCUAAAAACCUCUUCUUGCUGCAUCCACAGGAGAUCUUUGAAGUCAGCAAUCAAGAGGGAGCUAGCCACAUGUACAGAACAGCCUUGGUUUUAAACUCAGCUCUUGCUUUGUUUGCACAUUGUUUCUUCCUCUAAACAUUGGCUAAAUGUGGUUAGGAACAUCUACCUUGGAAGAAUGUU